GCUCGGAUAGCGUAGUGAUUAGCGCAGCCGGUUCGUGAUCGGCGGGCUAGGGGAUUCGGAUCCCCUACCGGGCU
rnacentral:tRNA from 1 species